rnacentral:rRNA from 1 species
GACGAACGCUGGCGGCGUGCUUAACACAUGCAAGUCGAACGGAAAGGCCCUGCUUUUGUGGGGUGCUCGAGUGGCGAACGGGUGAGUAACACGUGAGUAACCUGCCCUUGACUUUGGGAUAACUUCAGGAAACUGGGGCUAAUACCGGAUAGGAGCUCCUGCUGCAUGGUGGGGGUUGGAAAGUUUCGGCGGUUGGGGAUGGACUCGCGGCUUAUCAGCUUGUUGGUGGGGUAGUGGCUUACCAAGGCUUUGACGGGUAGCCGGCCUGAGAGGGUGACCGGCCACAUUGGGACUGGGAUACGGCCCAGACUGCUACGGGAGGCAGCAGUGGGGAAUAUUGCAGAAUGGGCGGAAGCCUGAUGCAGCAACGCCGCGUGCGGGAUGACGGCCUUCGGGUUGUAAACCGCUUUCGCCUGUGACGAAGCGUGAGUGACGGUAAUGGGUAAAGAAGCACCGGCUAACUACGUG